UUUCAGCCUUUCCAGAGUGCGUUUAGUUAUCUAAUUGGACAGCUAAACUUAGUUGAUGAGUUUAUAGCUAAUUGCAUUUUAUUUACAAAUUACUCUUUAGAAUUUUGCUCCUGUACAAGUGAAUUUUAUACAAAUGGAAUGAUGGAAAGCUAGAUUUGAUUUUUAGGCUUUCUGUAGUUGGAGUGAGCUGGUCUUGACCUGAAAGUCCUUCGUCUGCCACCAGUGGAUGCAUGGAGAACAGAGAGGCUUGUCUCCAAAGGCAGCUGAUGAGAACAGAGGAAGGAGCAGAUGAUGGCACCAAAUCCUGCCCUGGAGCUGAGCAGGGCUCAAGGAGCAGCCCCGUGUGGAGGAGCAGAUGGUGCUCUGCAAACUAUCAGCUGCAUUUUGUGGAGCAUUUCUGGAGCUGAGGGACAACUGUCUGGGAAUUUCCAGGUCAGGUAACCUUGCUCACUCUUGUGGAAAGCCUGAGGAGCUCCAGGAGGGAUUUAAAGAAGAGAUCUUCCUCUCCUGUUCAGCUAAUUACGAGCUCCUCCCUUCCAAACUCCUGAUCUCGUCACACAGCCGAAGGCGUCGACGGCAGAGCAGAGCCCGGAUUUGGGAGCUGGCGGUGCCGCGCCGCUGUUCCCGCAGCAGCCGGGUGCUUCUCCCUGUGCCUCUGGAGCCUGCCAUUGUGCUGGGAAGUGGAGCAGGUAACCACUUCAUCAGGCCGAGAUUCCAUUCUCGUGGAGCACGGAGGUUCAUUAUACUCACUUUAUCAGCAGUGCGCUUUACUGCCGAAUCCAUGAGAGAUAUUCAUGUGAAACAUGAGCAGAGAGAGAGGCAUUGCAUCUUUUCAUUAAUAAGCCCUCUUCUGGGAUCCGGCAUUAGCGAGAUUCAGCGGAUCAUAGAGCACAGGGGUAUCAUUUUUACAUGA
rnacentral:lncRNA from 1 species